ACAUUGGUGCUAUGAUCAACACUAAGCUGAAAUGCAGUCAAAGUGGGUAGUGAAUUCUUUCUUUCACAUUCAUCAGUCUCCAGAUCAUGCAAUGUUUCCUCAUUGAUCCUCUCCAAGUCCUGUCUACUCUUCCCCAGCCAAUAAUCUGGCUCUGCUUUUUGGGCUAACACUGCUCGACUAUCACCCACAUUCAUCACAUACACAUCUUCUCCCUUCAUUAACAUCACAAGCACACA
rnacentral:misc_RNA from 1 species